GCGUCGUUUGCGACGCCCAACACUCAAAACAAGCGGUGAGUGCUUUGGGGUGGGGUGACUGCGUACCUUUUGUAUAAUGGGUCAGCGACUUAUAUUCUGUAGCAAGGUUAACCGUAUAGGGGAGCCGUAGGGAAACCGAGUCUUAACCGGGCGUUAAGUUGCAGGGUAUAGACCCGAAACCCGGUGAUCUAGCCAUGGGCAGGUUGAAGGUUGGGUAACACUAACUGGAGGACCGAACCGACUAAUGUUGAAAAA
rnacentral:rRNA from 1 species